UUCUGGUUGAUCCUGCCAGACCUGACUGCUAUCGGAUUGAUACUAAGCCAUGCGAGUCAUUGUAGCAAUACAAGGCAGACGGCUCAGUAACGCGUAGUCAAUCUACCCUAUGGACGGGAAUAACCUCGGGAAACUGAGAAUAAUGCCCGAUAGAACAUUAUACCUGGAACGGUUUAUGUUUCAAAUGAUUUAUCGCCGUAGGAUGGGGCUGCGGCCUAUCAGUUUGUUGGUGAGGUAAUGGCCCACCAAGACUAUUACAGGUACGGGCUCUGAGAGGAGUAGCCCGGAGAUGGGUACUGAGACACGGACCCAGGCCCUAUGGGGCGCAGCAGGCGAGAAAACUUUGCAAUGUGCGAAAGCACGACAAGGUUAAUCCGAGUGGUUUCUGCUAAAGAAACCUUUUGCUAGUCCUAGAAACACUAGUGAAUAAGGGGUGGGCAAGUUCUGGUGUCAGCCGCCGCGGUAAAACCAGCACCUCAAGUGGUCAGGAUGAUUAUUGGGCCUAAAGCAUCCGUAGCUCGUUUUGUAAGUUUUCGGUUAAAUCCAUACGCUUAACGUAUGGGCUGCCGGGAAUACUGCAUAACUAGGAAGUGGGAGAGGUAGACGGUACUCGGUAGGAAGGGGUAAAAUCCUUUGAUCUAUUGAUGACCACCUGUGGCGAAGGCGGUCUACCAGAACACGUUCGACGGUGAGGGAUGAAAGCUGGGGGAGCAAACCGGAUUAGAUACCCGGGUAGUCCCAGCUGUAAACUAUGCAAACUCAGUGAUGCAUUGGCUUGUGGCCAAUGCAGUGCUGCAGGGAAGCCGUUAAGUUUGCCGCCUGGGAAGUACGUACGCAAGUAUGAAACUGAAAGGAAUUGGCGGG
rnacentral:rRNA from 1 species